rnacentral:rRNA from 1 species
CCUACGGGUGGCAGCAGUGAGGAAUAUUGGUCAAUGGGCGGAAGCCUGAACCAGCCAAGUAGCGUGCAGGAUGACGGCCCUACGGGUUGUAAACUGCUUUUAUACGGGAAUAACGCGCCUUACGUGUAGGGCUUUGCAUGUACCGUAUGAAUAAGGACCGGCUAAUUCCGUGCCAGCAGCCGCGAUAAUACGGAAGGUCCGGGCGUUAUCCGGAUUUAUUGGGUUUAAAGGGUGCGCAGGCGGAUUUUUAAGUCAGCGGUCAAAUCGUGGGGCUCAACCCCAUCCAGCCGUUGAAACUGGGGAUCUAGAGUGUGCGAGAGGUAUGCGGAAUGCGUGGUGUAGCGGUGAAAUGCAUAGAUAUCACGCAGAACCCCGAUUGCGAAGGCAGCAUACCGGUGCACAACUGACGCUCAGGCACGAAAGCGUGGGUAUCGAACAGGAUUAGAUACCCGAGUAGUC